rnacentral:lncRNA from 1 species
CAUUGGGAAUCACCAGCAGGGCGGGAGUGGGAGGCACUGGGGUGGAGAAAAGGGGGGAGUCAGAUCGAGAGAAACAGCGUUGCUAAGCCACUUGCUUUGAUAGAGACAGCAAUUUUCCUUUUUCUCCAUCAGGACCUUGACUGGGCCUCCAGGGGCCUCGAGGAAUUAAGGGCUGGUAGUACCAGGGAAUGGUGAUGAGCUGAGGAUGCCCCUUCUUAGCACCCAUGGUGACAUCUGUCCAUUCAUUUAUUCAAUGUAUAUUCAUUUAUUUAGCCCUUUUCUGGACACUAGGGAAAGCAAUGGAUAAAAGAGAUGAAAAUCCCUGCCCUUGUGCCAUUUACAUCUUAGGGAAGGGAAGAUAAUAAGUAAGGAAAUA